CCUACGGGAGGCUGCAGUGGGGAAUAUUGGACAAUGGGCGAAAGCCUGAUCCAGCCAUGCCGCGUGUGUGAAGAAGGCCUUCGGGUUGUAAAGCACUUUCAGUGGGGAAGAAAGCCUUGGGGCUAAUACCCUCGAGGAAGGACAUCACCCACAGAAGAAGCACCGGCUAACUCCGUGCCAGCAGCCGCGGUAAUACGGAGGGUGCGAGCGUUAAUCGGAAUUACUGGGCGUAAAGCGCGCGUAGGCGGUCUGAUAAGCCGGUUGUGAAAGCCCCGGGCUCAACCUGGGAACGGCAUCCGGAACUGUCAGGCUAGAGUGCGGGAGAGGAAGGUAGAAUUCCCGGUGUAGCGGUGAAAUGCGUAGAGAUCGGGAGGAAUACCAGUGGCGAAGGCGGCCUUCUGGACUGACACUGACGCUGAGGUGCGAAAGCGUGGGUAGCAAACAGGAUUAGAUACCCGGGUAGUC
rnacentral:rRNA from 1 species